ACAGGACAACGUGUCUCCGUUCGAAUUGUCUACUCGUAGUGGGAGUAGAGUGUACACCGUACACCUUAGCCUUAAAGUAUGACGUCAUUGAUCCGUUGACUCGGAAGCGAGACAAGUUACGAAACCUAACCAUGGAAUCGCUAUCGAUUUUUCGCGCCGAUCGGUAAUCUUCAUCCUUGUGCGACGAAAAUAGGGUUUCCAUGAAAAAUCGUUGUAUGAAUGAACGUGCAUAGGAAGGAGGAAAUUAUGUAACGUAGCUCUUACGAUCGACUUUUCGCGACGACCUUCGAGCUUUUACAAUAACAUGGAAAAUUUCGAUAAAUUCUGGAGAAUUAAUCGACUAUCGAACACGAAGAGGAGAAAAUUGUGAAACGUAGUUUUUACCUGUUCUGAGAUGUAAUUUACCUCGGGGUAAAAGUCUGUAAUGAGUUUCAUCUGGAAACUGCGAGUUGAUUUACUCACACCGUUGGUCUCUUCCUAUUUGUUCGAGAAGAAAUUGUCCCCGUAGUUUAAGGGAUGUUUGAAAUUAAAGUAACGAGAUCAGAGCAGAAGUUGAUAACAUCAGGUGAAAACAUUGAGAGGAAAAGCAUUGUUAGUAACCUUCUUUUACGUGCUAUUAUUUCUUGUCGCUCUGUUUGAAUUUUCAUGCACUUUGCGAAAAAAUACUUUGUGGAAAGAUAAAAAACUGUGGAUAAUUCUUGACUAACUUCAAAGAAUAAUUAACUUCAAAUAAUAAUAACUGUGGAGAUUAGUCAAAUGUGAAGGUAAAUCGCGAGGCAUUGGGUGGAAGACAAGUAGUGCUCUUCGAGGUUUCCACUCUCUGGGGAUUACAAAGAGAUGAACGAUCCUCGACAACUCUCCAACAAACGUAUUUCGAGCCCAUCUGAUAUCCAAUUGCAGGUCAUUUGUGCCUACAUCCUCGACAUUUAUCAACACCAGUUUGUUGAAAGUUGAUUUAUCGUAUCAAACUACUCCUUGAUGGAAGAUCUGAGCCAAAGUGCAGACUACCCAAUGGCCAUUCAAUACUACUCACUUCCUCCAAAAUAAUCCCUAAUGGCUGGCUGACUAUUAGGAACGUUUCUAAGGGUUGCUUCCUGCUUUCAAUUACUAUUUCUAUAGGCAGGGUCUCUCUUGGAUCAAUGGUGGCAAAUAAUCUAUCAUUGAACGAGUAUCUCCCUUUGAAUGUUGUGAUGUGGAAAAUUUCUCCGUAUUGAAGGAAGCACUUUUUCUACGAGAAGAAUUUCUAACAGUGAGAAGAUUGAACUGAGUGUUUCCGGAACUGAAUAAUUCUUUAAGAAUAAAGAAGAAUGGAAGAACAUUGGAAAAAUUUCAAAUUAAGGGUGUUAAGACGGAGGAGCUGUGGCAGGGAAAAGAUUAUAGAAGAGCAUAACGAAAAUUGCAAUGAUAAGGAAUCGUUUAAGUAUUUCUCGUAGAAAAAGAGUUUAAAAAAAAAUAACGCAAAAAUAUCAAGAUUAAUAAUAACAAGUAAAAACUGUAUGAAAGAUGUAAAAGUUAAAUUGUAGCAAUAAAGAAAACAGUGUAAAGGUGAUAAAAAUAAUUUGAUGAUAUAAAAACAUCAUGGUGCCAAAAAAUAAGCUGUUUACCUACAACGAAUAGUACAAAACCAUUAAAAAAGAUAUACUAGCAAUUCUACUAACAAGCGAUGCCAUAAAAUAAAAGAAAGAUUACGUAAAUAUAUACAUAUAUAUAUACAAACAUAUGAUGAUGAUGACAUCCUUCGAAUUCUUCGAAUAUCCUAAAAUUUUAAGCUAGAAAUCUGGAAAAUUGCAGCAUUAUGCUAUCAACGUAUCUAAUUGCUGAUGUAAAUAGCUCCACUAUUUCUAAGAAUUACUCUUUCUCUCUUGUUAAGUGACUUUUAUUUCGUGUCAGAGCGUUUAACAUAUAAUAGACCCUUCCGUAAUUAUCGAAAAAGAAAACAAACGCCCCCGCAGGACAAUGGAUGAACGUUAUUAUUCCGAGCAUCGAGGAUGACGUGUCAGGGGCGCCUACAACAAUGCCCAAUGUCAAAGACCGCAAUAAGACUCGAAGGUUUCCUGCUAGAUACGAUCGUAGUCGUAAAAUCCGAGGGUCAAGUGGCAAUGACCCUGUACCAUAUUUUACCAGAAUUUGGCAAGGCCCAACCUAACACGUUCAAACAAAUGAAACCGAAAGGUGAAUUGCUUAGGUGGAAUUGUAAAUGAUAUAACUGACAUUGAUGAAGAUUUUCGAAUUAUAUAAGCAGAGAAUAUACACUACUAAUAAUUUUAAGUCAUUUUGUUAAUUUCGCUUAUGAUGUGUUAUUAACUUUGAAAUUAAUUCUGCAACCAUCGAUAAUAUUUUUUUUAUUACAAUAAAUUUAAAAUCUAUGGUAGGUUUUUUUCAAUUCAUAAGGUUCUGUGAAACACGUAAUCAUACCACAAGUAUGUAUCGUUUAUCAUUUAAAUUCCACAAUAAGUAAAAUUUCGUAACACGAACGGAUCGCCUGUCUUUCAAUGAAUUUUGAGAAAAGUCUUCAACUUGCGAUGCAAUAUUAUUGUACGUAAUAUUUGAACAACUAUUACAACGGAAAUCGAAGAUUAUAAAUAUCGAACAUGAAAUAGUUAGAUCAUUAUGCCACGUGCGUCUUAGUUCGAUGAUACUGCAAGAUCUAUAAAAUCUCACAGAUAGAAGCGUAUUGCGAAUAUAAGUCUGGUCUCUAACGAUUACCUGACUUCUCGAGCGAUUUUUAAAUCGCACUUUAUCCCACCACGUGACUUUAUCGUUAACGCGAGAAUCGUUAAAAACAGCAAAAAGGUGUGCAAUCAAUGAAAAAAGAGGACGACAAAGAGCAUAAUGUAGAAUUCCCGGAACUGGUAAAGUUCAACUCGGAUAAAACAUCGACGAAUAAUAUUCUCGUUGAGGAGAAAAAUUAGAAGCUGCAGAAUAUUUUCUGAACGUGAUGUAUGCUAAUAACGUUAAAUUGCAGUGUCAAUUACAAGCAGACAAAUAUCGUGCCGGUGGUCAAAGUUCCGGUAACUCACGAAAAUGGAACAUAAAGAACGCAUAGUUUCAUCGUUAUAAAAUCUCACGAUGCACGGUAUUCCCAUAGAACAACAUUUGGAUCUCUUUUUCGUUUUCCGUGUAAUCCCCGGAAGAUUUAAGGAAAUGUCACCGUGUCAAGGUAAAAUGACACCGAACAGAUCCAACCCGCUUUAUAUCCGGCAAGUGCAGGAGUUAAUUUUUCCACGAGCCCGCCUGAGACGAAUUAAAAAUCCAACGACUGUUUUAUCGGGAUUAUUCGACCGUGACACAGUGUCCAACGUCUGUCUCAGACGUCAGCCGUCCGGUUUCAAUAUUUCAAUUGAACCUGUCUUGUAUUGUAAUGUCGGUGUAGAAAAGGUUUGCAACGCGUCGAAAAGACACGUUAGCAGAGCGUUUUAAAUAUUCAUGCGGCUUUAUCCGUUUCUUCAGUUUCAGGGAAAAAAAGAAGAUAAAUUAGUCGUUGGUCGAUGAAAUCGAUAGUGUAUAACCCUCGAACGAGCUAUUUCGAGGAAGGAUAGCUGAAUAGCGUAAUUACUCUCGAUAGUGUUAAUUGCCAGUAGAGUAGACCACGAGUAAUUAAUUAUCGAGAAACUUUAAUGAAAACUUUAAUGUCUUCUCGAAGAUAUGAAAAUUAAGUGCAGAUAAAUACUUCUUGAAGUAUGUAUUUGUGCAAAUUCGUGUUUUUGCACGAAUAGUGCAAAAGUGAUAAAGGAAU
rnacentral:lncRNA from 11 species